rnacentral:rRNA from 1 species
AGCGAACGCUGGCGGCAGGCCUAACACAUGCAAGUCGAACGGACCCUUCGGGGUUAGUGGCGGACGGGUGAGUAACACGUGGGAACGUGCCUUUAGGUUCGGAAUAGCUCCUGGAAACGGGUGGUAAUGCCGAAUGUGCCCUUCGGGGGAAAGAUUUAUCGCCUUUAGAGCGGCCCGCGUCUGAUUAGCUAGUUGGUGAGGUAACGGCUCACCAAGGCGACGAUCAGUAGCUGGUCUGAGAGGAUGACCAGCCACACUGGGACUGAGACACGGCCCAGACUCCUACGGGAGGCAGCAGUGGGGAAUCUUGCGCAAUGGGUGAAAGCCUGACGCAGCCAUGCCGCGUGAAUGAUGAAGGUCUUAGGAUUGUAAAAUUCUUUCACCGGGGACGAUAAUGACGGUACCCGGAGAAGAAGCCCCGGCUAACUUCGUG